CAUGGAGCAGAAGCUCGAAGAACUUCUUGAUAGUGUAGUGUCCAAGUGCAGUUAAAUUUGAAGAUGAAUAAACAUUGCCAAGAAGCAACAACUUCGGAAUCUGAUUCAGACUCUGUCCCCAAAAAAUCUAGAUCGAGUAGUACAAAUUAUCAAACGUAGAAGGCUAACAAAAGGUGGACAAUCGUUCUAUGAGUGAACAUUGAUCUGGAUAAGGAGGAUACUGGAACACUUCGGAGAUUGUACUAUUACGUGCGAGCAGCUGAAAAUGUUAAACGGCUUUCAUUAGCGGAGCUGGUUGUGGUGAUAAACUAAGACAACUAAACAAGAAAGGGACAACAUCGAGCAUGAAGUUGGGAUUUCCAUAAAAGUGUGCAAGGGGCGGAUAGAUAUUCUGCAAAGAAAGGUAAAAUAUGAAGAUAAAGACGGGACUUCAAGUCCAUGGCUUUGCAUUAUGGUUGAUAAUUCCCAAGAUAACAUUGUGGCUCAGAUACGGUGUGGUAGGAAGACAUUUCAUGCCUCUUGUUUUUACCCGUCCUUUUGAUCAUUUUGAUUCUUUACAUUCUCGUGUCAGCUGUUUUGAGAAAUUACAGGUUUUGAUUCUCAGUGAGAGGCUUCAUGUGGUAACUGCUCAGUUUGACAAGUUAAAAACCAUAUACUUUUAAGAAGAUGUUAAUAGAACCACGUCGAGAAGAAAACCGCAAAAGGUGUCCAUUUCACACUCAACGGAUGCAUCUAGAUAUGUACGUGCAGAAGAGCAAGAAAGCACCUUCUUGUGUGAAUGUCCUUAACUGAUUCCUGUAUAUUUGUAUACAUGACUUGCUAAUGCAUCGGCCUUGGGAUGCAUCAUGUCCGCAGGGGUUUAUGGGUUCUUUUGGGCUCAUUGAAAUUCUCAAGCGGUAAAACUGAAAUAGCAGAAGUAUCAAAAUCUUUUGGGAUCUUGUUUCCUUUUCCCUCUUUAAUCAAUUUUUUGUCUUCCUGUUUUGCUUGUAUGUUGUCUUGGCAUUCACUUUGUAUAUUACUUUCUUUGAUAUUUUUGUAUUUUGCUUACUUGAGUACUAACACUUGCAUUUCCUUUGUUAUAUGAAUUGGUUCAACUCUCUUUUUAUGCAGGUUCUACAAGAUUCUUGCAAUUAUGGAGGUACUGCUGCUUACAAACAAGGCAACCACUUUGAAAAUGAAGUACUAGCACAAGGAUUUUGCUAGUCAAGGGUUCAGGAUGGCUGCUGAAUGUGCACUAAAUUCUUAAAUUCUGGUUGCAACAAAGGAAUAAGCAGAUAAUUCAUUGAAUUCUUGUGGCAGGAGUUCUUACUCUUGCAGUGUUAAGGUUUCUUGUGAUGCUAGCGCAUUUAAGGAGGUUGAUGAAGUUUUAUAACUUGAUAUGGAAAGGACUGAGAGCUAGAACAAAGAAACAGAAGUAUUCAUUUUCAAUCUCUUCUCUCUAAGUAGUCUAGUCCAUUCACAAAGUGUUGCUGGUACACCACUCAUUUGGGUUGCUGGUCAUGAACAACCUCCUGCUUAUUGAUGAUUUCCACCAGUAACAACAUCUGGGGUUCAGUAGGAUCAUGCUUGCAGAUGUGUGUCCCUUGAUGGAUGAGCAGUUACUUCAUGUAUUUGUCUUUUAGAUUUCAUUUUUCUAUUGAACACAAAAUGUUAGUGUUAGAGCUUGCUCAG